GCCGAUUUGGUUUUGAGGAAUGUCACUUUUUCUGACUAGACCAGUACAUGUAGUAGUAAACAUAUGCUUUAUAGAAUUAGACCGUUGGUUUUCCCGUUUGAAUGGUUUAACACUAGUAAUUGUGGGGCCCUUUAUAGCUAGUUGUUCCGUGUGAGCCAAGGCUGCGUGUUGAAGGCCGUACACUGACCUAUAAUGGUUUACUUUUUUUAAAUUGUUAUUUGGAUGGAGAGUUGUCUCAUUGGCACUCACACCACAUCUCCUAUAUCUAUUUAGCAUCCAUUUUUCUACUUUUUUUUAUAUAUAGCCUGAACUGUUGUUGUUUUUCAAGUCAAUUAAUAUUUUUUACAUGUCAACGGCAUGCGAAUUUUCAUAAUUUCAAUAUAUUGUUUUUUUUAUGCAAUACUUGAUGUCUAAAUUAAAUGUAUUAGUAUCUGUGGUUCAAACUGACUUUUUUUU
rnacentral:lncRNA from 1 species